rnacentral:rRNA from 1 species
AUUGAACGCUGGCGGCAGGCCUAACACAUGCAAGUCGAGCGGAGCGGCGGACGGGUGAGUAAUGCCAAGGAAUCUGCCUGGUAGUGGGGGAUAACGUCCGGAAACGGGCGCUGAUACCGCAUACUAUCAGAUUAGCCUAGGUCGGAUUAGCUAGUGGGUGGGGGAAAGGCCUACCAAGGCGACGAUCCGUAACUGGUCUGAGAGGAUGAUCAGUCAAACGGGAACGGAGACACGGUCCAGACUCCUACGGUAGGCAGCAGUGGGGAAUAUUGGACAAUGGGCGCAAGCCUGAUGCAGCCAUGCCGCGUGUGUGAAGAAGGUCUGCGGAUUGUAAAGUACUUUAAGUUGGGAGGCGUUACCAACAGAAUAAGCACCGGCUAACUUCGUGCCAGCAGCCGCGGUAAUUC